CCGGACGCCCGGCCGAGCGGCCCGAUUCCCUUCGGAGGAGCGGGGUUUUCAAGCCGGGAGCUGCAGCCCAAGUAACCUGGAUGAUGGGGAAAUCACGUGGAAACCGCUUUAACCCUUUGAUGGUUAGAAAGACGGUGUAGCCAGAAAGGAGAGGAGGGAUCCCGAAGCCCAGGACAGAGCCUGAGGCCAGAAAGAGAGAGGAAGAAUUAAGAAAAUCCCUUUCAGGGGGCUUCCCUGAUGGUUCAGUGGCUGAGACUCCGUGCUCCCAAUGCCUGGCUUCCAUCCCUGGUCA